rnacentral:rRNA from 1 species
UACAGAGGUCUCAAGCGUUGUUCGGAAUCACUGGGCGUAAAGGGUGCGUAGGCCGCACGGUAAGUCAGGUGUGAAAGCCCGGAGCUCAACUUCGGAAUUGCACCCGAUACUGCCGUGCUUGAGGACUGGAGAGGAGUCUGGAAUUCACAGUGGAGCAGUGAAAUGCGUAGAUAUUGUGAGGAACACUAGUGGCGAAGGCGAGACUCUGGACAGUUCCUGACGCUGAGGCACGAAGGCCAGGGGAGCAAACGGG